UUGGCGCGGCGUUGCCGCGUCCGGAGGGUGACAAGGGACAGCGGUCUCUGUGUAUUCCCGGCCGAUGGUCUGCAGUAACAGGUGACGCCCGAGCCUGCCGUGUUCUGGCAGUCUGAGAAAGGAGAUUUGGAUGGCCAUCACCCUGAGCUCCAAUUCUGCCAAACACAUUCCCCGCCCUCCCUAACCCAGCGGCAAGUCACAUUUCUUCCUCCCUACCCUCCCCGACCGCCCGCGGGGCAGGAUCCACCCACCGACUCUCCGCUCAUAAGAGGCAACGGCGGACGGGAGAGGAGCUGGAACCGACACCGCAUCCAAACGCUGCAGAGUUCGAGAACCUUUCCCGAGGCCAUGACUGCGUUGUUUCUGCUCGUUACCCUCCUCCUCCUGAGCCAGGGCCUUGAGUUGGCGGAGUGCAGUUCGCAGGGGUGCAUGGAGGUCGGAGGCCAUUGUGUCAGGGGCAGCUGUCCACAGGGCUAUUUUAGAAGCCGAGGCUUCUGUGACGAUAAUUCCAGUUGCUGUUACCUAUGACGCAGGACCCCGCCGGCCGAAGAUGCUGAGCAAAGCGCGGAGAGCCCUUGACAACCACAUCCAAUCCAGCUUCAUAGCUUACCCUGCCUGGACACCAAGCCGGCGCCCGAUAAUGUACACGCAGAAAUAUAUAUAUACAUAUAAAAUAAAGGCCAGAGUAUAGAUCGCU